rnacentral:rRNA from 1 species
UACCAGACUCCUACGGGAGGCAGCAGUGGGGAAUAUUGCACAAUGGGGGAAACCCUGAUGCAGCAACGCCGCGUGAGUGAAGAAGUAUUUCGGUAUGUAAAGCUCUAUCAGCAGGGAAGAAAAUGACGGUACCUGAGUAAGAAGCCCCGGCUAACUACGUGCCAGCAGCCGCGGUAAUACGUAGGGGGCAAGCGUUAUCCGGAUUUACUGGGUGUAAAGGGAGCGUAGACGGCGAUACAAGUCUGAAGUGAAAGCCCGGGGCUCAACCCCGGGACUGCUUUGGAAACUGUGUUGCUGGAGUGCUGGAGAGGCAAGCGGAAUUCCUAGUGUAGCGGUGAAAUGCGUAGAUAUUAGGAAGAACACCAGUGGCGAAGGCGGCUUACUGGACUGUAACUGACGUUGAGGCUCGAAAGCGUGGGGAGCAAACAGGAUUAGAUACCCCUGUAA